CUUUUUGUCUUUUUAGGGCCACACCUGCGGCAUAUGGAGGUUCCCAGGCUAGGGGUUGAAUCAGAGCUGCAGGUGCCACCUAUGCCACAGCCACAGCCAUGCUAGAUCCUUAACCCACUGAGCAAUGCCAGGGAUCGAACCCACAACCUCACGGUUCCUAGUCGGAUUCGUUUCCGCUACUAGACAUGUUCCAUGGGUGACUUGUGUGCUGGGAGUUAUCUCAAGAAAGCAGUUUUCAAAUCAAGGCAGACCCAGAACCGAGGCACCUUCCUGAAGGGCGCGCCCUGCCCUGGCCCGGGGAGGGGCCGCGGGGAGCGCGAUGGGACUGGGGCUCGGGGAAGCCAGGUCCCCGCGACAGUCAGAGAGGCAGGACUGGGUGCAGGCGUGUGGGAGGAAGACCUGAAAUAGCUCUAAGAACCUGAAACUCCGGGGAGAAGUUGAGGGCGGUGUGGCCGCCCCGAAUGGGGAACUGCUCGCCAGGGAAAGGAGAAGUUUGCCGGGGUGUCAGGGUGAAGCUGGGUGGGGAUGGCGGUGGAGGUGGAGGGGACCAGAUUCUCCAGGGGACACGCACGGCCCCAGCGCCCUGCCCACCAUGCGCCUCUUUGUGGAAGGGCCACGAGAGUGGAGACGGAGAGACUCCUCUUCCCAAGACCAGAGACUGGGGCUGGGGGCGGGCGGCAGGCCCAGCCCGCCACCUCCCACCGCCCGCUGCCUGCUGCCCGCUGCCCGCUGCCCUUGGAGGUGAUGUGAGCUCACACGCCAGGCCGGGAGCCAGGACCCCACCCCACCCCAUCCCUGCAGACUGCCCACCUUGCUUCCCUCUGAGCCCCACCCUCGUCGGCACCAGGUGCCCCUUUGUGAGCUGAGAGCCGUGCCCGGCACCACACAGGGCUGAGGGUUCGAGGUCCAGCAAGCCCUGCAGGACUGACGUACAGGGGGGAGGGGGCCAAGCCAUUGAUUAGGGUUGGGUCAUUGCCACUGCAGGGCAGACCCUGUACAGGCUGAGGGCACACAGUAGGUGCUGUGACCACAGAUGGGAUCUGGCGGACGUGGGCACCUCCCCGUCCAGGGAGCUGGCCUGGAGUCACCGUGGCACUUGAUGGUGGGUUUUCAGGGGCGGAUGUGCCUCGAAGGAGCGUGGAGAGCUCAGAGCCUGAGUGGAGGCUGGCGGGCUGGGGUCGUGCAUGGGGGUCUUCCAGGGACCUCAGCGUCCAGCUCUCAUGGGGCCUGGAGGUGUCUAAGGGAAGGCGGGGGUGGUGUGGGCGUGCUGCCCUCCUUAGCUCAGGCGCGGGAGAGGGCACUCUGGGCACUGAUGGACACAGUGCUGUGACCGCCAGAGGCCAGGACAGCAAGAGAGACGGAGGGAACCGAGGACAGGAGAGAGAAGGCGGGGACGAGAGUCCUGGGAAUGCCUUGGAGCCCGCUUCUCGUCUCAGCAGCUUGGAAGGGGAUGGCGAGGACGUGGGAAAGGGAAAUGCUGGCCUCUGGGACGGCGACGGAAGCAGAGCCUGUGGGCCUCCACGGCCGGCUCUGGGGAGGCCCCGCUGCCCAGGGGCAGAGCAGCGAUCUCAGCCCGGCCCUGGGCAGCGGGGUCUUCUCCUUUCUCCACAUGUAGCAAGAGCCCACUUGCGAAAUGGCCCCUUGGGGCCAUGGCCGGGCAGGGAGGGUCCUGGGCUGCUUGGGAACAGCAGAGAAGGUGUGAAAUUGGGAGCCCUGAAGCCCUGGUUGGGAAGGAGAUUCAGAGGUGGUGACCGGAACUCCAGCAAGGGUCUUUCCAGAAGUCUGCUGGCGGGGGUGUCCACAGAAGCCUCAUUUUUCCUUAUAAGAAGGGGCUGGUCCAUUUUUUGAUCCUCUGCACCUUCUAUGACUCUUUUUUCCUGUUUGAAGGCAGAUGUGAUGUCUGGAGGUGGCGCAACCUCCUUGCAGCUAGGAAGCCAUAAGUAAGCGGAUGGUGGCAUAGAGAGAACAAAAAAGCCUGUGUCCCAGAUGCCAUCAUUGCUGCACCAGCCGAAACCGCUGGCCUCUGAGCUUUGUUAUGUGGACAAAAACAAACCCUGCUUCUAUUGCUGUUGGCUCUUCUGCUGUUUGCACUUGAACACAAUCCGAUUGGAGAGAGAGUUCAAAUCCUUCACGCACAGGGUUGCCAGAUUUAGAAAAUAAAAAUAUAGAUGUUCAGGUAAGCUUGAAUUUCAGAAAAGCAGUGAAUAGUUUUUAGUACAAGUGUGUCCCAGGCAGCACGUGGGAGAUGGUUUCUCUGAAAUUUGUCUUUUCACGGGUGAAGUAACGGAACCGAGAGGUGGCCCCGCCUCUGCCCACAGGCACAUCUUGGCUUUGCUCAGAGGUGAAUACGGGGUGUGCACCCCAGUCCACAGGUGCGUGAGGUUCCUCUAGAGCCUGGAAUCGGCACAGGCCAACACCGCUGCCGUCUGCAGAGGAGAGCUCAACGUCGACCUCGGCAUCCUGGGGCUUAGCCCCCGAGGGCGAGGGCGAAAGUGGCGGGGAGCCCCGGGGAGGCGAGCUCCUCCCACGGUAAAGCCGGGGCCUGGGGAGAGGGGACAGGACACCAGUGCCCCGGAGUGAGGCCCGGGUGGAGUGUCCCCGUCCGCAGGGACACACGACGGGUCAGCAGGAGCCCCAAGGCCUGGGUUAGGGCUCGUUUUUUGCCAUUUUUUUUGGGGGGGGGUGUUUUUGUUUUUAAGAAAGUUAAUUUGAUUUUUAUGGCGGCAAAAUACAGGACAUAAACAUUCCCGUUUUCACCACUGAAAACGACCAAUUCGGCAGCAGUCGGUCUGUUCACACGAAGACACAGCCGCACCUCUGUGACUGCACCACCUUGACCUCUUCAGCCCCCAAAGGAAGCCCUGCCCCUCCCCCAGCCCUGGCAUCCCCACAUCUGCUCCGCGACCCUGUGGACAUACGAACAGCAUCAUGUAAUACGCGGCCUUUUGUGUUCGUGCCUGGCUUCUCCCCCUGCGUGUGUCUUCAGGGUUCACCCCAGCUCCCAGCUGCUCAGCUGCUCCCCAGGUCGUCAGGCGACAUUUUCUCAGCACCUGGGGUGCCCGGCUCUGUUCUGGUGAGGAGGCGACCAGGCAACCCUUGGAUCCGGAAGAGGGAUUGCCCAUCCAGGCAGCAGCGCGUGGCCGUGCGGGCCGGGACUGGGUGGGGAGGCCGAGGGCCUGGGCAGAGGUGGUCCCUGGACACGGGUUGUGGGCAUCUUCCUCUUUCACGGGCAGGGGGCCGUUGGCGUGCGAAGGGUCCCCAGAAAGAAAAGGGGUCCUGGCCUCCAGUGAAAGAGAACAGAGCCGUUCUCCUGUGGCACAGCAGGUUAAGGAUCCGGCGUUGUCACCGCAGCAGCCUGGGUCUGUGCUGCCACAUGGGUUCGAGCCCCAGCCCAGGAACUUACACAUGCCGCAGCCGAAAGAAAGACAGAAAGAAAGAGUGACGCUCGGGGCCGCAGGCCCGUCCAGGGCAGGAGGAGGCUGCUCCGUGUCUCAGCCAGCGCCGCGCUCCGGCAGGCGCCCCGACUUUCCAGGUACCCAGGCAAGAGAGCUCGAAGGAAUCCAUGGUUCUCGAUGCCCAGACGGUGGUCGGCCGGCCUUCUCAGCUCCCCUUUCCUGCUCCUCCUCCUCCUUGCUGGGGCACUUCCGCAGGCAGAGAUCCACCAGGCUCCCUGUCUCCUUCCUCCUCCGACACAAAGUCCCGCCCCAUGUGAGCGACAAGCUGAGGACGGCCCAUGAGUCCAGCCGGGCCGCCGAGGUCCGUGUCCCUUCGGGGACAGGCCUGGGGGUCUUUCUGUUUAUGCCGAUUGGGUC
ensembl:lncRNA